ACUCAACAGGAAUUCUUUAAGAGGGGUGAGUUCAAAUUGUUAAAGCACGCCGUCUUGGUUACGGAUCCUUGAUCAAUUUAUUAGCCCCAAAUAUGUUUUAAGGAGUUU
rnacentral:sRNA from 1 species